rnacentral:tRNA from 1 species
GCUCUCGUAGUUCAAUGGAUAGAAUGUGGCUCUCCUAAAGCUAAGAUACGAGUUCGAUUCUCGUCGGGAGUA